ACAUGACUCUCGGCAAUGGAUAUCUCGGCUCUCGCAUCGAUGAAGAGCGCAGCGAAAUGCGAUACGUGGUGCGAAUUGCAGAAUCCCGCGAACCAUCGAGUCUUUGAACGCAAGUUGCGCCCGAGGCCAACCGGCCAAGGGCACGUCUGCCUGGGCGUCAAGC
rnacentral:rRNA from 1 species